GACGAACGCUGGCGGCGUGCUUAACACAUGCAAGUCGAACGGAAAGGCCCUGCUUUUGUGGGGUGCUCGAGUGGCGAACGGGUGAGUAACACGUGAGUAACCUGCCCUUGUCUUUGGGAUAACUUCAGGAAACUGGGGCUAAUACAGGAUAGGAGCUCCUGCUGCACGGUGGGGGUUGGAAAGUUUCGGCGGUUGGGGAUGGACUCGCGGCUUAUCAGCUUGUUGGUGGGGUAGUGGCUUACCAAGGCUUUGACGGGUAGCCGGCCUGAGAGGGUGACCGGCCACAUUGGGACUGAGAUACGGCCCAGACUCCUACGGGAGGCAGCAGUGGGGAAUAUUGCAGAAUGGGCGGAAGCCUGAUGCAGCAACGCCGCGUGCGGGAUGACGGCCUACGGGUUGUAAACCGCUGUCGCCGGUAACGAAGCGGGAGUGACGGUAAUGGGUAAAGAAGCACCGGCUAACUACGUG
rnacentral:rRNA from 1 species